CUUGUUUAUUAUGGAAAUUUUCUAACACACGUGGAUGGUGGCAGAUGUGGGCAGGGAGGAGUUGCAGGAGUUGGAGAGUGGUUCUGAGGAGGGGGUUAGAUGAGAAAACAGGGAACUUGAAUGGAAACUGCACCUCUGACAGUGAACUAUACUGCUCUUCCUUUGAAUGCAGGACGGAGAUUCUCACCAAGAGGAUGACGAAUGGCCGGGACGUGUACCGCGGGGUGAACGCCCUCCAGGCCAAAAUCAACCUGAUUGAGAGGUUGUAUGAAAUAAAUGUGGAAGAUGCUAAUGAAAUAGACUGGGAAGAUCUUGCUGGUACCAUAGGGUAAGACCAUCCUAUAUAAAAAAAGGCUAAUAUGCAAA